rnacentral:tRNA from 1 species
GGUGGCUCAGUAGUAGAGUGCUUGCCUUGCAAGCAUGAGGCCUGGGUUCGAUUCCUCAGCACCA